GACGAACGCUGGCGGCGUGCCUAAUACAUGCAAGUUGAACGCUAAAGCUUUAACUGGUGCUUGCACCGACCUAAGUUUUUAGAGUAGCGGACGGGUGAGUAACACGUGGGUAACCUGCCCAUCAGAGGGGGAUAACACUUGGAAACAGGUGCUAAUACCGCAUAAUUCCUUUUACCGCAUGGUAAAAGGCUGAAAGGCGCUUCUGGUGUCACUGAUGGAUGGACCCGCGGUGCAUUAGCUAGUCGGUGGGGUAACGGCCUACCGAGGCGAUGAUGCAUAGCCGACCUGAGAGGGUGAUCGGCCACAUUGGGACUGAGACACGGCCCAAACUCCUACGGGAGGCAGCAGUAGGGAAUCUUCGGCAAUGGACGAAAGUCUGAUGCAGCGACGCCGCGUGGGGGAUGAAGGCCUUCGGGUUGUAAACUCCUUUCGCCAUUGACGAAGCCCUUUGGGGUGACGGUAGGUGGAGAAGAAGCACCGGCUAACUACGUGCCAGCAGCCGCAGUAACAC
rnacentral:rRNA from 1 species